rnacentral:rRNA from 1 species
GGUUAAGUGACUAAGCGUACACGGUGGAUGCCUGGGCAGUCAGAGGCGAUGAAGGACGUACUAACUUGCGAUAAGCGCAGAUAAGGCAGUAAGAGCCGUUUGAGUCUGCGAUUUCCGAAUGGGGAAACCCAACUGCAUAAGCAGUUACUGUUAACUGAAUACAUAGGUUAACAGAGCAAACCGGGGGAACUGAAACAUCUAAGUACCCCGAGGAGAAGAAAUCAACCGAGAUUCCGGUAGUAGCGGCGAGCGAACCUGGAUUAGCCCUUAAGCACUCGGUGAAGUAGGUGAACAAGCUGGAAAGCUUGGCGAUACAGGGUGAUAGCCCCGUAACCGACGCUUCAUCGAGCGUGAAAUCGAGUAGGGCGGGACACGUGAUAUCCUGUCUGAAUAUGGGGGGACCAUCCUCCAAGGCUAAAUACUCCUGACUGACCGAUAGUGAACCAGUACCGUGAGGGAAAGGCGAAAAGAACCCCUGUGAGGGGAGUGAAAUAGAACCUGAAACCGUGUACGUACAAGCAGUAGGAGCACCUUCGUGGUGUGACUGCGUACCUUUUGUAUAAUGGGUCAGCGACUUAUAUUCAGUGGCAAGGUUAACCGUAUAGGGGAGCCGUAGCGAAAGCGAGUCUUAACUGGGCGCUCAGUCUCUGGAUAUAGACCCGAAACCGGGUGAUCUAGCCAUGGGCAGGUUGAAGGUUGAGUAACAUCAACUGGAGGACCGAACCGACUAAUGUUGAAAAAUUAGCGGAUGACUUGUGGCUAGGGGUGAAAGGCCAAUCAAACUCGGAGAUAGCUGGUUCUCCCCGAAAGCUAUUUAGGUAGCGCCUCGGACGAAUACUACUGGGGGUAGAGCACUGUUAAGGCUAGGGGGUCAUCCCGACUUACCAACCCUUUGCAAACUCCG